AGUAAAUAGAUACCCAGGUAGUCCACGCCGUAAACGAUGUCGACUUGGAGGUUGUGCCCUUGAGGCGUGGCUUCCGGAGCUAAACGCGUUAAGUCGACCGCCUGGGGAGUACGGCCGCAAGGUUAAACUCAAAUGAAUUGACGGGGGCCCGCACAAGCGGUGGAGCAUGUGGUUUAAUUCGAUGCAACGCGAAGAACCUUACCUACUCUUGACAUCCAGAGAACUUAGCAGAGAUGCUUUGGUGCCUUCGGGAACUCUGAGACAGGUGCUGCAUGGCUGUCGUCAGCUCGUGUUGUGAAAUGUUGGGUUAAGUCCCGCAACGAGCGCAACCCUUAUCCUUUGUUGCCAGCGGUUAGGCCGGGAACUCAAAGGAGACUGCCAGUGAUAAACUGGAGGAAGGUGGGGAUGACGUCAAGUCAUCAUGGCCCUUACGAGUAGGGCUACACACGUGCUACAAUGGCGCAUACAAAGAGAAGCGACCUCGCGAGAGCAAGCGGACCUCAUAAAGUGCGUCGUAGUCCGG
rnacentral:rRNA from 1 species